UACGAGUGCCCUCGAGCGUUAUCCGGAAUUAUUGGGCGUAAAGGGUGCGUAGGUGGUCAUAUUAGUCUCUCGUUAAAUACUUCGGCACAACCGGAGAAAUGCGAGGGAAACGGUAUGACUUGAGGAUGCGAGGGGUCUCUGGAACUCUAGGUGUAGCGGUGAAAUGCGUUGAUAUCUAGGGGAACACCAAAAGCGAAGGCAAGAGACUGGAGCAUUCCUGACACUGAGGCACGAAAGCGUGGGUAGCGAACGGGAUUAGAUACCC
rnacentral:rRNA from 1 species